rnacentral:rRNA from 1 species
CAGGCCUAACACAUGCAAGUCGAACGCCCUCGCAAGGGGGAGUGGCAGACGGGUGAGUAACACGUGGGAACAUACCCUUCGGUUCGGAACAACGCCGGGAAACUGGCGCUAAUACCGGAUACGCCCUUUUGGGGAAAGGCUUGCCGCCGAAGGAGUGGCCCGCGUUCGAUUAGCUUGAUGGCGGGGUAACGGCCCACCAUGGCGACGAUCGAUAGCUGGUCUGAGAGGAUGGCCAGCCACAUUGGGACUGAGACACGGCCCAAACUCCUACGGGAGGCAGCAGUGGGAAUAUUGGACAAUGGGCGCAAGCCUGAUCCAGCCAUGCCGCGUGAGUGAUGACGGCCUUAGGGUUGUAAAGCUCUUUCGCACGCGACGAUAAUGACGGUAGCGUGAGAAGAAGCCCCGGCUAACUUCGUGCCAGCAGCCGCGGUAAU